GGUUGAGGUUUGAGAUGAUGCAUUUCUCAUGAGCUCCCAGAAGAUGUUAAUGCCGCUGUGCAGUGGAAUGACAUGCCAUUCUGAAACUCUUGUUGGUAUUGUGCCUAAGGAAAAAAACAUAGAGGGAUGGGGUGAAGAACUCUGGGUUUGGUCAGCAGCUGAGCCGUCCUGGAGAUGAAACCUUGGGCCAACGCUGGCUUGGUGGCACGAAGCCUGGAGCAGUGCAGAUGCUGCUGAGGUCUUCAGGAGGAAAACGUCAUGAAACUUACUUUAAAUACUACCUGAAAAAAUAAUAAAGUAAAUGUGGC